rnacentral:rRNA from 1 species
UACGUAGGGUGCGAGCGUUAAUCGGAAUUACUGGGCGUAAAGCGUGCGCAGGCGGCUUUGCAAGACAGAUGUGAAAUCCCCGGGCUCAACCUGGGAACUGCAUUUGUGACUGCAAGGCUAGAGUACGGCAGAGGGGGAUGGAAUUCCGCGUGUAGCAGUGAAAUGCGUAGACAUGCGGAGGAACACCAAUGGCGAAGGCAAUCCCCUGGGCCUGUACUGACGCUCAUGCACGAAAGCGUGGGGAGCAAACAGG